AACUUCAAAGGAAUUCCAAAGGAAGAAUAAGAAAUCUUAAAGAAAUAUUAGAAUGAUUACAAACAUAUUUCAAAUACAUCUCAAUUCAAUCUUAAUAUAAUCUUAGUUGAAAUCUUACUUCAUUCCAAUUUUAGGCCAAAAACUAACUAAAUCUUAAAUCCUAAAUAAUCUCAAAUAAAAUCCUAAAUCUUAAAUCAAAUCCUAAUCAAAUCCUAACUAAAUCUUAAAUCCUAAACAAAAUCCUAAAUCCUAAAUCAAAUCCUAACCAAUCCCUAAGUCCUAAAUCAAAUUCUAAUCCUAAAUAAAAUCCUAACCAAACCUUAAAUCCUAAACCAAACUCUAAUCCUAAAUCAAAUCCUAACCAAAAUCUAACCAAAUCUUAAUCCUAAAUCAAAUCAUAGCCACCCCUAAACCAAACCUUAAAUCUUAAGUCAAAUCCUAAUCUUAAAUCAAACCCUAACCAAAUCCAAAAUCCUAAAUCAAACUCUAAUCUUAAAUCAAAUCCUAAUCAAAUCCUAAUCAAACUCUAACCAAAUCUUAAUCCUAAAUCAAAUCCUAACCACUCCUAAAUCAAAUCCUAAAAAAAUCCUAAAUCCUAAAUCAAAUCCUAAUUCUAAAUCAAAUCCUAACUAAAUCCUAAAUCCUAAACCAAACCCUAAUCCUAAAUCAAACCCUAACCAAAUCCUAAAUCCUAAACCAAAUCCUAAUCCUUAAUCAAAUCCUAACCAAAUCCUAAAUCCUAAACCAAAUCCUAAUCCUAAACCAAAUCCUAAUCCUAAAUCAAAUCUUGACCAAAUCCUAACCAAAUCCUAACCCUAAUUCUAACCAAAUCCUAAUCCUAAAUCAAACCCUAACCAAAUCCUAAAUCCUAAAUCAAAUCCUAACCAA
rnacentral:lncRNA from 1 species